AAUGACGCCGAUGACAGCGACAGCGUCGGCCGAGUGCUUCCCCUGCUCCGGGUCGUCCAGGCACCGGGUCCUCCUUCAGCACUCGCAGCACGCACUGAAGAAGACGCUACGGAAGUCUCCGUUUUCCAGACUCGGGGGAAUUAGGAAACGCGCCCGGCGACCCUCGGGCAGUAGCACCGGGCCAGGUUUGCUUUCGGAACCGCUGACGCCACUCGCCGCCUUUCCCGCCUGGGCCUCUCGCGGGUCGCAGGGGUGGAAGCCCGACCUGGGCCAGGGCCCGGAUUUCUUCCUCCCGGCCUCUGCGCCGCCGCCCCCGGUGCCAGGACGCGCUUUGCUCUCGCCGAGACCCAGACGCGCCGAAAGCCUCGCGCGGGCAGUUCCCCGCCCCACGCCCCGGGCUGCGCGUUCUCCCGCGAAGCCUCUGCCGAGUGCGCGCGACGGCGCCGCCGGACUCCCCCGGACCGCGCUCCCGCGCACGCCUGACCGGAGCACCCCGCUUCACGGGGGCGUUCUGCGCGUCCUUCCUCCCCGGUGCGAUUUCCGUUCUUUUUCCUCUCGCGGUCCCCAGGAGCCCAGGCACCCCUCGACGCCGCUGCCGGCGGAACCGGGAACCCUCCCCGGGGCUCCCUGCGGGCCCGAAGCCGCCUUCCCGAGGCGGCGGAGUUGGGCAGCUCCGGGCCCCGCGCCGCCCCGCGCCGCCCCGCGGAGCCGGAGUUUCUCUCCGGAGUCUGGACACAGCUCUCCGCUUCGUCGCCGCGCACUGGACCCCGGUAGCGUGGAGCCUGCCCGGGAAGCUGGGCUGCGCCGGCCUGGGGCGAAGGUCCAAGGGGCGCGGGGGCCGGGACGCGGGGCUGUGGCGACGACCGGCCCUCUGCGAACGCUCAGGCCGGCGGGUCCGGGGCCACAGGCUGGGAGUGGAGCUGGCGGCCACUGGGGAGUAGAGAGGACGCCCAGGAACAGGUGCACCAGGGUCCCGGCGGCUGGGCCGAGGGUCGCAAGCAGAGGGGACCGGCGGCUGCCAGCAAGUCCCAAGCAGAUGCCUCCGGCGGGGCAGCCGCAUUUUACAGCGCCCAUUCCGCGUACAUCGAGUAUCCAAAACGAGUAAAAUCGGUUUAUACGUUGGAAUGUAGCUUAUGAUUCCAAAAUCUCAUCUCCAGGCUGCCUAGAUCACACGGCCCCGUUUCAUUCAUUUUUACUGAAUAACGGUCGUUGGACAAUUUAGAGAAGCAGCAGAAACCACGAGAAAAACAGUGGAGUCAAACGGCGGUAAGGACCGACAAGGCUGGCGGGGACAUUGAGCAAACGGCGGCUUCUGAGUUGGCACCUGUCCUUCACCACGUUGUGUGGGAAGUGUGGGGAGUCGGGAUUCCCACUCCUCCCCAGCCUUCCGGAAAAAUGCUCGGAAAUUUCCUUCCACAUUGACACCUGAUUACAGUCUAAAUAGUAACCUUAUUCUGAUUGUUAAUGUAACCCUCUCGUAAUCUCUACAAAAAUACUUUAGUUUUUCUAGCUGUGUUUUCAUGUAAUCACUGAAAUUAUUUUUAAUUGGUUUUAAGCAUUCAUUGAUUCCAUUUACACCACCUGCAAAAAAGUUACAUAGGUGAUCGCUAACAAUACUAGAAUUCGCCCCAUCCAAAGGAAACAUUAGAGUAGAAAAAGAAAAAGGAUUUGAGAAUCCAGUAGGAAAUUCAGUUAAUCAUUCCUUCCCUGUUACUCAACUACCUUAACAUUGUCAGGUUUACCUGAACAUAAACUUCAUUUUCUUAAUUGUUCUUAGAACGAAGGGAUAUGUUUAUUGAAAUCAGUAAUUAAGAAUAUUUUGGGACAGUUAUGAUUUACUUAGCCAGUGAAGCAGUUUCUAUUCCCAAAUCCAGGCAAAGAGAACAAUAAGAUUAAACGUAACCUAAGAGAUUUCCUUUUUGUCAAAUAAUGUGAUUUUGCUAUGUAUAGAGGAGAUGUCUAUAUGUAAGGGCAUAUUUAUGACCAGUAGUUCCUAAAAUUAAGGGGACUAUUAUUGUGUUACUCAAGGUAUCAGUUGUAUAGGAUACAUUAUGUCAUAUUUCAAACAAUGUUUAUAAAGAGAUUAGUAUAAUUAACCUGUGUGUACUUCUCCUCUGGGCCAACCUUGUGUCUUCUUUAUCUGCUGACAGUCCUCUCCCCACUGAAUUAUUUUGAAUCAAAUCCCAGAUAGUCUAUCAUUGUAUUGUAUUUUUGAAUAUUUCUCUAAAAGAUAAUAAUUCCAUCAAUGAGACUGGGUGCAGUGGCUCCUCCCUGUAAUCCCAGCUCUUUGGGAGGCAGAGGUUGGAGGAUCACUUUAGGCCAGGAGUUCAAGACCACCCUGAGCAACAUAGCAAGACCCCAUUUAUAAAAAAGAAGAUUCCCAUCAACGUAACCACAAUACCAUUAUCACACCUAAAUAAUCCAUUAAUAGCAUCGGUUUAUCCAGGCAAUAUUUAAAUAUCUUCAAUUGUCUAAAAACUUUUUGUUUAGUUGGUCGGUUUGAAUUAGAAUGCUAAUAAGGGUUACGUAUUGUGUUUGGUUGAUAUGGGCUAUUAUAUCUCUUUUAGAUUUCCUCAAUCCUCUUUUUUUGUUUCCCUUGCAUUUUUUAUGGGAGAAACUGAACGGUUUGUUCUGAAGAAGUUGACAUUCUGGACUUUGUAGCUGCAGGUACAUGGGCUUCUACAAUUUCGUCUAUUUCAUCCUGCAGUUAUUUUCACGGGUCUCUGUGUCCACCACUAUCUGGAAUCUCUGAGAUGGCGCUGUUGUAGGAGCAAGGUAUACAAUGAUGAUCAAGGCAGAUGCAGCCCUUACCUUCAGGUCGUGGAGUCCGGAUACAGACUGGAGGCAGAGGCAGCUGUAAGAUGUGUGACAAAUGCUGCGCUGGAUCAGCCCAUGGUAUUAGGAGAGCAGGUAAGGAAGGGUGGGGACGGGAGCGGACAACCUGGAGGAAGAGGCAGCUAAGCAGAGUCCGGAAGGCUGAGGAGGAGUCAGCAGGUGAAAGAGAGGGAAUCAUGACAUGCCAUCUCAACUGUAGGGCACGGCUAGCUGGCUGACUUAGCUGCUGUAACACCGGAUUUUUGCAAGACUCCCUGAGUAUUUCUCGUGGACUUGCGAACAAAUCUGAGCAAGAAAACCACGUAAUUUCUUUUAUGCCCUGCCCAAGAAAGCCACCUGGAG
rnacentral:lncRNA from 1 species